rnacentral:lncRNA from 1 species
AUUGCUCCUGAUAUGUGCUGAAUUAACAGCCUGGAGACUGAAGCCAUUUAAUUUGGGUGGAUUUCAAGCUUCCAACACAGAGCAUGAUUGUUUCCAUUUUUUUGGGAAGGGAUGCUCUCUCUUUGUCCCUUGUACAGUCCCAGGCUUGCUGAUGAUGCUCAAUGAACAAACAUAAAUAACAAUAAAGUCUAAUGGGAUCUGUGCAGCUGUCUUGGACAGGGCUUGGGAGAUGAGACCACCCCGUGCAGGAUCCCAGUGCUGCUGCACCUCUCCUGGCUGCUCAUCCUGCACAUUCUGCCCAUGGACCAGAGCAGCUGCUGGCCAAUGCCUGCUUCUAUCAGCACUCUGUAGCCUGCUCCCUUUUUCUUUUCUCUGAGGGAUUUAGGAAUCCACAUCUUAAAGGAGGGGUUGCUUUCGGCCUGCUGCUAAAAUCAAUUUUUAACUGUCCCUUCUAGAUUCUACAUUCUGUCCCUUAUUCUACACCUGAAGCUGGAUGUUUUUUGCUCACAGAGCUGCCACCACAGGAGAGUACUUACACAAGACAGAGAAGUGGGCUUGUGAACAACCAAGUGGAAUAAAAUUGUCACUGUGUUGCUGGCAGACUUUGAAGUUAAAGUGCCAUGACAAAUUUUUUCCCUGUUUUUCUUCAAAUAAGAUUUUUUUAAAAAAGUGUGUUAAGGCAUAAGUCUAGUUGAAAAUGAUUAUUUUUGUCAGAAACAUGCUGGAAAAAUAGAAAAUUAGAGACUGAUGAGUCACAUGAUUCUUAGGUACAGACCCAGAGUAUGAAGUUGGGAAUGGACUUUUGCCAUUGCAGCUAAGAUGUCCUUCGAAUUUUUUUAAGUGUUUCAUUUGGCACACUGAAGUAAAACUAAUAGAGGAAAACAAUUUUUUCCAAGUCCACUGUAUACAUAGUUUGGAGAUAGUAAUCUACAAAUAUUUCCAGUAAGAACUUCAGUUGUGUUGCUUUAGGCCUCAUAAAAAGUGAGGAUUUUAUCGCAUUUUCCAGCUAUCUGUUCUCCAGUGGACCUUAAAUGCAAAGACUGGAAAAAAAACCACCUCUCUCAAAAAGUUAUUUGUUGCCAUUGAGGCACUGAGUGUUAAUAAAUUUAAACAAACAUUCUUUGUACA